GGCGGAUGUGUCUGGAAACCUGCUCCGUUGAUGAAGGUUGAGCUAAGACUAGAACAGAAGAACUGGAUGAAUGCCAUCAUUUUGAGGAGCUGCUGUUUUGAGAUUUAAUUUCCUUCACUGAUGAAUUCAAUGAAUUCAUUUUCCACAUCUCAAAGGGGUUUUGGACCGUCUUUAGCAGGUGAAGAUGUCAGACCAGCUUCCUCACCAGCUUAAUCCACUUAACACUGUAAGACUGAUUUAGACUAAGACCAGCAAAUCAUCUUUUCUUCAGGGUACUAUUUAUUUAUCUAUUUAUUUGUUUAUUUAUUUAUUGCAUUGGCCAACAACAUGAUGAAUUUCUGUUUCAGUAUGUGCAAGGUGGACGGAGAAGCUGUUGCGUGCAUUUACAUCUCAGCCUGUUGGUCAGACAUGACAACGGUACUCAAAUAAAGCUGGAGGUAAUGGAGUGGAGCGGAAAGGACGGUGGACAGCCCCAGGCAUCCGCACGUGCUCCGUCUGUUUCCGUCUUAUUCAGACACCAGCCACUAAACUGCUGAGGCCAAAACCAAAACUCAACAAUUCACUCCUUUGAACAGUCUUUGGUUUUUACAAGCUGGACUCCGGGGAAUUUAAAAAAAAAAAAAAAAACAGACCCUGCAUUGCUCACGUCACGAAUCAUUAUUUGAGUCGAAUGAAUCGUUCGAACCGGUUCACAAAAACAGCUAUAGCUCACUAAUCAGCCCAAGUGGUUCUUCAGUCAACAAUUUACUGGUAGUGUUUCUGAGGUGUAUUAAUGUAUUUUUGAAUGUUCUCAGUCACUUUCAUCCAUAAAAUGACUCAAAAACCUUUCUUGUAUACUUACAAAUUGUAAUCUGUUACUGAUUACACAUUAUAUGAUGAAAACUGUAAUUAGUAACAUAAUCUUGUUUUUAGAUUACUUUUUUUUUUUCAUCUUUUGUUUUAGACUUACCACUGUAUGUACCAUAUUGAUAUAUA
ensembl:lncRNA